AAGUCUUUGACAAACUGGGUAUUUUCUGCCCGGUCAUGUGCUUCCUUGGUCCCUUCCUUCAGGAGCUCAGAAAGGUCUGCCAUUCUGUGGGAGAUGAAUUUUGGGUGAGACAGUAGCCCUUUCCAGUUCUCCAGAAAAGACUAAAAGGCCCACGAUGGAGCCAGGAAACAGGAGCUGCUCAGACACUAUUCCAGUCCAAUGUGAGUAACUGAGCCUGUCAGUGAGCACAGGGCAAGAUAGGACAAUCUGACACAAGAACUCAGUGGACAAGACACUUACUCUGGUCUCCUCAAGAGUGCCUGCAUUGGUAUCUGUUAGCAAGCACCCAAAUAAAUGACGCUUUGCUUUGUAGCCACCUAGUGGCUGAAGAACCAAUACUUAAUCUAUCCCAGAAAGAGCUGCCUUCCUCCCAGAUGAUAUGUGGAUGGGCCUAGUUGUGGGAAGAUGAGAUAGUUGAGAGACAGACCAAGAUCUUGGUUGGUUUCUUUUUCUUUUUGUCUUUGAGACGGGGUUUCUGUGUAGCUCUGGCUGUCCUGGAACUCACUCUGUAGACCAGGAUGGCCUUGAACUCAGAGAUCCACCUGCUUCUGCCUCCCAGUUUUGUAUUUAACAGAAUUACACAGGAUAAAGUUACAUCAAUAAAUGGAUAAGGAAGAAAAAUAUCAUCAUAAGGACAAUGGAACCUAGGAAGGCUCCUGUGUAUUCACACACUCCAUCUGUUAGAAUGAGAAAAAUCUGGUUCUCUUGUGGUCUAGUCUCUAUAGUAUUUUAUUUUUUUAGGAAAUUAUUCUGUAUCACCCCACAUCCUAAGAACUGGUUUAUUAGCAAAUAUAGUAAGAUAUAGGAAAUGACUUAGCCAAUGACAGGACUCUAAUGAGAAGCUAAGGAACUUGUGCAGCAGGGCCCUUAGUGCUGACGACCAUUCCCUUGUCGCAUCAGACUGAACCAAGCACGAUGACAGGGGUGAGGACAGGUGCUGAGCGAGGCCUCCUGACAGGCAGCAGCCAGCUGCCGUCACUCACUUGGUAUGGUUUUCCUUUUCUGGUGCCGUAGAGUUGUUCUCUGACUCAUCGACGCCCUCCGAGGUCUCCACCUCUGAAGACAUUGUUGCUGAGUUGUUUGUGCUGCCCUCACUUCGGUCCUGUACAGACACAAGGAACUGAUGACUGCAUAACCUUUUCUCAUUUAAGCCAAUAUAACAGACACCCCUGCACCUCAAAAUUCUGCCAUUGCGGGAGCAUUUCAGAACAUGGACAGAUCUGAAGAUGGACAGGGGGUUAUAAUAAUGCUUUUGUUCUUGGGCAAUACACACUGGCAUUUGGAAGUACAUGGGAUGCUGUCUGCAACUACUGUCAGCACGUAAGCUGUAUGUGGGGAUGUGAGGCAAGACAAAAGUGCCGACAGUCUGGCUAAAAGGGGUACAGAAGUUCUUUGCACUAGACUUACCUUUUUUUCUGCGUGUUUGAGAUUAUAUAUAAAUAAAAAGCUACCAAAGAUAU
rnacentral:lncRNA from 1 species